UUAUUCUAUUUCCACACCCAGUCAUGCUAU
rnacentral:piRNA from 1 species